GAGAGUGAUUUGUGUACUAAUUGGGGUUGCCAUGUUUGAGUGAUGAAGGGGUGAGGCCGGUCCUCGGCGGCAUGGAAGAAGGGCGCGGCGUGAAGCGGCCCUUCUUCACCUCGCCGGACGACCUGCUGGAGGAGGAGUACUACGACGAGCAGCUCCCGGAGAAGAAGCGACGCCUCACCCCGGAGCAGGUGAUUAGCUUUUCGGAUGAUGCAUGCUCUGUUCAUCUGAAUUGAUUCUGACGGUGCAUGCGCGGCACGCGUACGUACGUGUAUAGGUCCACCUGCUGGAGAGGAGCUUCGAGGAGGAGAACAAGCUGGAGCCGGAAAGGAAGACGGAGCUGGCCCGCAAGCUCGGGCUGCAGCCGCGCCAGGUGGCCGUCUGGUUCCAGAACCGCCGCGCCCGGUGGAAGACAAAGACGCUCGAGCGCGACUUCGACCGCCUCAAGGCGUCCUUCGACGCCCUCCGCGCCGACCACGACGCCCUCCUCCAGGACAACCACCGGCUCCGGUCACAGGUGAGCAAAGUCAACCACACGUACGCUUCACCACCGGGCGCCGUGGCUUCCGCCGCUGAGUUUGAUCUGAGAGAUCCAUCUUUGUGGCGUCAGGUGGUGACGUUGAC
rnacentral:lncRNA from 1 species